UCACUUAGCGGCGGACGGGUGAGUAAUGCUUAGGAAUCUGCCUAUUAGUGGGGGACAACAUUUCGAAAGGAAUGCUAAUACCGCAUACGCCCUAGGGGGGAAAGCAGGGGAUCUUCGGACCUUGCGCUAAUAGAUGAGCCUAAGUCAGAUUAGCUAGUUGGUGGGGUAAAGGCCUACCAAGGCGACGAUCUGUAGCGGGUCUGAGAGGAUGAUCCGCCACACUGGGACUGAGACACGGCCCAGACUCCUACGGGAGGCAGCAGUGGGGAAUAUUGGACAAUGGGGGGAACCCUGAUCCAGCCAUGCCGCGUGUGUGAAGAAGGCCUUUUGGUUGUAAAGCACUUUAAGCGAGGAGGAGGCUACCGAGACUAAUACUCUUGGAUAGUGGACGUUACUCGCAGAAUAAGCACCGGCUAACUCUGUGCCAGCAGCCGCGGUAAUACG
rnacentral:rRNA from 1 species